UUUGACUAUUGGACUGAAAUUACCACAGUUUGCCAGAUUUAUGAAGUAAAAAUACAGGAUACCCACUUACAUUUGAAUUUCAGAUAAACAAGGAAUGAUGCUUUAGGAUAAGAGAGUUAUCAGUUCCGAACUGAUGAAUGUGACUUCUGGAAGAAGACUCCCUAAUAUGCAACCUGAGAAUUGGGCAGAUUUACCCAUCUACAAGCACUACCCUCAAGAGGGCCUGUCCACUGAAAGUUCAAAGCCUGUUGCUGGAGAAGCAGAAAUAUAAACACAGGUUGAAAGCACCAUGCUGUCACUUAGCCACCUCAAGACUGAAUGAUCCCUACUCACAUUGACGAUGGACUCCUUGGUUUGAGCCAUAUCUGAGAUAACACCAUCUGUCACAAUCAGGAGCACAAAAUACUGGGAACCAUCUUUUACGGAAGAAG